AACGAACGCUGGCGGCAUGCCUAACACAUGCCAGUCGAACGAACCCAUCGGGGUUAGUGGCGCACGGGUUCGUCACGCGUGGGAAUCUUCCCUUUGCUUCGGCCUAACUCAGGGAAACUUGUGCUAAUACCGGAUCAUGUCUUCUGACCAAAGAUUUAUCGGCAAGGGAUGAGCCCGCGUAGGAUUAGGUUGUUGUUUCGGUAAAGGCAUACCAAGCCGACAAUCCUUAGCUGGUCUGAGAGGAUGAUCAGCCACACUGGGAGUGAGACACGGCCCAGAAUCCUACGGGAUGGAGCAGUGGGGGAUAUUGGACAAUGGGGGCAAGGCUGAACCAGCACGGACGCGUGAGUGAUGAAGGCCGGCGGGUCGUAAAGCGCUUUUAACAGGGAUGAUAAUGACAGUACCUGGAGAAUAAGCUCCGGCUAACUCCGUG
rnacentral:rRNA from 1 species